rnacentral:rRNA from 1 species
AAUAGAUACCCGGGUAGUCCACGCCGUAAACUAUGAGAACUAGAUGUUAGGUGGCUUAGACCAUCUGGUAUCGCAGCUAACGCGAUAAGUUCUCCGCCUGGGGAGUACGGCCGCAAGGUUAAAACUCAAAUGAAUUGACGGGGGCCCGCACAAGCGGUGGAGCAUGUGGUUUAAUUCGAUGCAACGCGAAGAACCUUACCUACCUUUGAAUCCACGGAAUCUCGCAGAGAUGUGAGAGUGCCUUCGGGAACCGUGAGACAGGUGCUGCAUGGCUGUCAUCAGCUCGUGUCGUGAGAUGUUGGGUUAAGUCCCGUAACGAGCGCAACCCUUGUCCUUAGUUACCAGCGAGUUAUGUCGGGGACUUUAAGGAGACUGCCGGUGAUAAACCGGAGGAAGUGGGAUGACGUCAAGUCCUCAUGGCCCUUACAGGUAGGGCUACACACGUGCUACAAUGGCCAGUACAAAGGGUUGCCAACCCGCGAGGGGAGCUAAUCUCAAAAAGCUGGUCGUAGUCCGGAUUGGAGUCUGCAACUCGACUCC